UACGGAGGGUGCAAGCGUUAUCCGGAUUCACUGGGUUUAAAGGGUGCGUAGGUGGAAUGGUAAGUCAGUGGUGAAAUCUCCAAGCUUAACUUGGAACUGCCGUUGAUACUAUCAUUCUUGAAUAUCGUGGAGGUGAGCGGAAUAUGUCAUGUAGCGGUGAAAUGCUUAGAUAUGACAUAGAACACCGAUUGCGAAGGCAGCUCACUACGCGAUUAUUGACACUGAGGCACGAAAGCGUGGGGAUCAAACAGG
rnacentral:rRNA from 1 species